rnacentral:rRNA from 1 species
UGCGUAACGCGUAUGCAACCUACCUUUAACAGGGGGAUAACACUGAGAAAUUGGUACUAAUACCCCAUAAUAUCAUAGAAGGCAUCUUUUAUGGUUGAAAAUUCCGAUGGUUAGAGAUGGGCAUGCGUUGUAUUAGCUAGUUGGUGGGGUAACGGCUCACCAAGGCGACGAUACAUAGGGGGACUGAGAGGUUAACCCCCCACACUGGUACUGAGACACGGACCAGACUCCUACGGGAGGCAGCAGUGAGGAAUAUUGGUCAAUGGACGCAAGUCUGAACCAGCCAUGCCGCGUGCAGGAUGACGGCUCUAUGAGUUGUAAACUGCUUUUGUACGAGGGUAAACGCAGAUACGUGUAUCUGUCUGAAAGUAUCGUACGAAUAAGGAUCGGCUAACUCCGUGCCAGCAGCCGCGGUAAUACGGAGGAUUCGAGCGUUAUCCGGAUUUAUUGGGUUUAAAGGGUGCGUAGGCGGUUUGAUAAGUUAGAGGUGAAAUUUCGGGGCUCAACCCUGAACGUGCCUCUAAUACUGUUGAGCUAGAGAGU